rnacentral:lncRNA from 1 species
GUUAACAAAACCGCAGUACCGCGUCCCACAUUGUCCCGAUCACUGUAAAAACAGCUACUGGAAUGACAAACUGAUGUGCAAAACCAAAGUUGGAGAAGGCUCGUCUUGCACUGUUCUUGAUAGGUGCUGCGAUUGGUGGGGGAGGCGGUUUCUCAACUAAAACAUCGAGCUUCAUACCACCGUAACAUCCACCACCGCUACCGCUAAUGAGAUAGUAAUGUCUGGUCACAUUGAGAUGAACAACGUCCCUUCCAGAUCCACGGCUCCAGUUAGCGAUCGGGUUAUCGGCAUUGCAACUUAUGUAGUUGGUCUCGUUCACUUCUAUAACGUUGUAUUGGUUUCUCUCGUACACAAAAUCUGAAAGAAAAAAAAAACAAAUAGAGACACAUGGAUAGAAACUAUAUAAGUCAAACAAGAUACGUGAAAGGAUAAACAUUAAUCUUAGUUUACUAUCCUUUUACUGUAAGAAAACGACUAGGAAAGAAUCUAGUGGUCCUUUUCAGACAAGAUAAGAUUGAUUGUGUUGGACAAGAUCUUACACAAAGUUUUAAGAUGUUGUAACGUAUUAAAAGAGUGUAAGCGACCCAUUUCACAUCAGAUCUAAAUCAUAUAAUGUAGAGUGUGACAAGAAUCAACGUUGAUAGAGAGUGACAGGGAAUAGUACAGAGCCAGUCGUCGAGGUAGAAAUGUUUGUCCUGAGCCCAAAUGGUAUAGUUGAUAUUGGGAUUCCAGAACUUGUUAUCACCCACUAUCCAUCUCUUAGCGGCCACCUCAGUCACCGGAGCUGCCGCAAGAAAAGCCAGAACCACUGCCGCAGCCAUCAACGCAAGUCUAGCCAUCGAUCACUCUAGAAAGAAAAAGAAGAAGCUCAGUGCUUAAUGACUCUCUUAGUCUUAUCUCUCAAGAAAUAGCAGUUUUAUGAAUGAAUGUAUAUGAGCGAGUGGGGCUGUUUCCAAGUCAAAUCAGACAUACAUAUUUCUCGUUUUACGGGGAAAAGAUCUCUCAAGAUCCGUAAUUUCUUCAACUAACGUUUGGAAUCUUAUUACUACUUUAAUCAACCUCGAUGUUGACGAUGAAGUACGCGUUAAUUAAAGGUACGCGUUAUAUAGUUAAGGGAGUAAUUAGAUUUUAAUUGCUGGCAUUAUUAUUAUUUUUCUCUGGUUAGUACAUUAUUCAGUUUUGUAGUAAUAUUUUCUCACCUUUUUGGCGGGAAUUUAUUUCCAUUUUCUUUUUUCAAGGGUUCAGACUUCAGAGAUUCAAUUCCUUUAUUUACAUACGAAAUGAGUAUAUAUAUAUAUAUAUAUAUAUAUAUAUCUUUUGAAUAUUUAAAAUAAAAAUAAAUUACUAUAACAGUGAUACAUAUCAAAAUUUCCAAAACUAUGUGAGUACUUAUAAUAGUUGUACUUCUUAGUAAAAUAACGAGAUAUGUUUAUGGCUCGUCGCAUACAAAAAAGCAGAGCAUAUGUUCCCGCAAUAACAUGCACACGCAACUGAUGGCACGUCGUAACCAUUUCCGCGAACCAACCAAUGGAUAUUGUAAUUCGAUAAGACGACGUCGUGUUUUUGACCACGAAUAUUUCUUAAAUUUCCUUUUAUCUUUUGUUUUUGACGUCAUCACAUUGGUUUAUGUCCACACGAUAUCAGUCAUAAAAUCCACGUAGGAACGACUAUCCAUUACACCCAUCCACGUGUUCUCAUAACAGCUUCUAGUUCCAUUACCUGAACGAACAAUAGAAACAGAGCAUCGAACUGAGAAAGAAGAAGAAGGGAAGCAAGAGAAAUGGCGGCAGCGGUAAGAAUUAGACAAUUGNNNNNNNNNNNNNNNNNNNNNNNNNNNNNNNNNNNNNNNNNNNNNNNNNNNNNNNNNNNAGUGAGUAAUGUGAAGAGACAUGAAACCUUGUCCGUCGUAAUAAAGUUUUAGUUCUUUUGGAUCCCACGGCAGAAUAACUCCUCUCCAUGCCUUUGAUCCUCCUCCACUUGUCAGAAAUUGAAUCCCACUUCACCAAUUCCAAACAAUGAAUUAUUUAGGUUUUGUCUGAAGUAGUAAACAUUUAAACUUAACUAAGACUUUGACUAAUCUAGAUUCAAAUAAAAUUUGUUUAAAACAAAAUGAUUUCGUGUUUUAUUUUUCAUUCAAGAAUGUAAACCAAUACGAUCCCUAUUGAUGAAAAGAAGAAGUAAAUAGAACUUUACCCGUCGGACCCAAUGUGCUGCAAGCAAUGAUCAUGUCCGUUCAUGUACACGUCCACUUUAUUUUCCUUCAAUAGUAAAUAAAAGAAUUACGACAAAAGUACUAAAUAAAUAUCCCCUAUACUAUAUUUGCGAAGUGAUUUUGCCACGUGUCCUUUCUACAAUCAAUUUCACAAAACAAAUAUGACAUGGCUACUGAAAUUGAUGACAUGUCUUAUAGCUUAAUAUGACAUGAGGCUAAAGAUGGAAUUUCUUUAAUCUAUAAUAACAUAUCAUUAUUACUAAUUUAUUGUGGUCCAAUAUGUUCUGAAUUUCACAUUUAAUCUUUUUUAUUAGUACUAUGGAUAAAUAAUUCAACUUGCAUCUUUUAUUUUGUUUGAAAAGUUUGAUUAGAUAACCAGAUUGAUGGUGUUUAAUUUGUAAUAGUCAUCUUAUAUGCCACCAUUUGGUCUCCCUUUUUCUUUGUGUCAACGUGUUGCUAUUUGUACAAUUUUACUUAUGCAUAACCUAAGGUAAUUUUUUAUGGGUAAUUGAAACAUUGAGUAAAGGAUAACCAAAAACUUUACAUGAGUAAACAUAUGAGAUGGUUUCACUUGGUAAAAAUGUCUAGUAUCCCCUAAACUAUAUUUGAGAAGUGAUUUGUAUAUGUGUGUCGUCGCUUGAGAUGAUGUCUCUGAUGGUGUCUGGACAAUGAUCUCUGUCUCAGCUUCCUUCUUUCCUUCCUGCGUUAACAUUUAACCAAAUUACGAAUAAAGAACCGGAGAUUAGAAGCAUCGGUUUACUCCGGUCUAUUUCCAGCUUCAAAACAUAAAAAAAAAAUUAUCAAUGAGGGUAACUUGCUGGAAUACGUACCUGUUGGGUUGGUAACUUGUUGAGAUUCGUAGGCUCUUUGAUUGUUGAUUUCCCUGAUUUCUUGGGUGCCAAGUUAUCUCUUUUCCUUAUACCAACUCUUCUCCUGCAAAAACAAAUAUUUUAACCUCUAAACACACGUAUAUGUAAAAAGUUUGUGAAAAUCGAUAAUGAUUUAAACCUUCGUUGAAGUUCUUCGCGAUACUUAGCAUCCAUUUCUUUGUUAGGAGGGUACUUAGGUAACGUCGAUGGAUCACAAGCGUAAGGCUUUGUGUUAAAAUACUGAAAUAACAGCAAAAAACCACAAAUAAGACCAGAUAGUGUCAGUUUAAAUUUAUUCAUUUCUGUUUAGGUUUUCUUUAAUACCUCUGACAUGAUAGCAGAAGAGGCAGUUCCUCGUUUCUCAGGAUUAGUAGAUAAUAAUUUCUCCAGAAGACUAACUGCUGUUUUUGGAAACUCCUCAAAACUUUCUCUCAGACAACCUUCAUAUUGAUGUUGUGGUCUAAACAUCUUAGUUUGAGAAUGAAGCUUAUUGUUCUUUUCCCAAAAUUCUUCAUCUGGUGGUCCACAGAGUUUAUAAAUCUUGUGAAGUUGUUCAAUCUACAUAAAACAAACAAAUAAAUAUUAUCUCUAUUUGGAAUGAGUAAUUUCUAUAUAUAUAGCUUGGGUCCCUUUCCUCACCUCUGUUCUUCCUUUAAGAAGUGGCCUUCCGGUAAGAAUCUCAGCGAAAACACAUCCCACGCUCCAAAGAUCGAUUGAUACGCUAUAACUCGUGGAACCCAUUAGAAGUUCAGGUGCACGGUACCAUAGCGUCACAACCCGGCUUGUUAACUGAUUCUUGUUUCUUGGCGUUACAAUGUUGGCUAGUCCAAAAUCAGCUAGCUUCAAAACUCCUUUGUUAUUCACCAGAAUGUUUGCGGCUUUGAUGUCUCUGUGCAUUAUCCCUCGUAAAUGACAAUGUUCUACGCCCAACAGAAGCUGCUGCAUGUAGCAUUUGAUCUGAAAAGGAAAUUAGGGUUAUCAGUAAAACAAAACAGAGUUACUUGCGCCAGACGUCAUGUUUUUUUCUCUGUAUGUCUUUCUUACUUGUGCCUCGGUGAAUUUGAUGUCAGGAGAUGAACAUAAGCCUUCGAGAUCAUGUUCCAUGUAAUCGAACACAAAGUACAUGCUAUUUGAAUUCCGUGACGCGAUGAUCCCUUCGAGUUUCAUGAUGUUUGGAUGAUCUAAUCUUCUCAAAAUCAUGAUUUCUCUCGCAAUGAAUCUUAUGUUUUCAGUUUCAAAAUUCUGAACCCUUAUUUUCUUUAGAGCCAUAACUCGUCCCGUCGAUACCUCACAAGCCCGGAACACGUUGCUAUACGUCCCUUGCCCAAUCUAAGAUUUUUUUCAAAAAAAAUGGUAGAAGUUAAUUGUUUACAUCAUAAUAGGGUUGUUUCUUGCAUUACAAGGUAUGUUUAGAGAACCUUCUCUCUUUUCUCGAAGUCCUCUGCGAGUAAUGGGCUCCAUCCGUGAACGGCCUCCGGUGCGGCAGAGCGGAGCCAUGAAGGCCAACCACCCGCCACCUGCUCAGCCUCUACAUUACCAUGCGUCAAUCCCGAUCUCAGGCUAACUCCGGUUGUCCUCGAUCUUGGAGCAUCAUCGUCUUUAUUGCGAUGCUUUUUUGGAGAUGAGUUAACAACACGGCGGUGAGGUGGAGGACUAGGAAGAACAUGAGGUUUGUGGUUGUUUUGGGGAUGACUCCGGUGGACAGCGGUGUCUAAACGGCGGCGGAGAUGGCGUGGAGGACCAGCGGGAGAAGAAUGCUUGGAGUGGAAGCAACCCAUAAUAACGAAAGCUAAUUAUCAAAGGAGAGGUUCCGGGUGGCGUGAGUAUGGACCCGAGUCGGGUAACGGGUCCAACGCAGGGAGGACAAUCCCCGCAUUAGACCAUAAAGAAAUGAAAAAAAAAGUGAGAAAAAUCAAAAACUGAAAGGAAAUUAGGUUUUGCUCAAAAGAAAGGAAAAUAGGUUUGGAUGUAAAAUCGAGAGAGAUAAUUACGGAUAAUAAGACAAUCCCUCCUUAUACAUUGGAAGAGAAAUAGAAAAGAAAAGCUAAUCUUCUUAUCUUUACUAUUUGUCUUUGUAUUAUUUACAAUAGAUUUAUAUAUAUUAUACAAGCACAUUUUAAAACAAAAAAAAAACUAAUAAAUUACUAGAGUUUAAAGGGAAAAGAAAUAUAUGUUACAUUCAUAUUCUCAAACAAUGAUUAGAUACAAAGAAAAUUACACAAUUAAUAGAAAAAGAAACAAAAACUUGUUAGAGCUGGUUUUAAUUUUAUUUUCCUUAGUCAAGCAUGCACAAGUCACAUUACACAUGUUACAAGUCAAUAAGAAGUAGCCUUCAGUAUCACUAACGAAGAUGCGAUCAAGAAGCUAGUGUGAUCAGAGUUCAGUUUGAGUUUUCUUGGUAUGAUCUUCAAAUUCCUUUGGAGUUUGAUACUAGAGAUUGCUAAAAGAGAUGUAGAGAAAGAUGGCGAGAUCUGUGCUCAGACGCAUGGGUUUCAACAUUGAGGAGUCCAUUGAUAAAGUUGAAGAGGUACAAAGAUUGGCUAACAGAUUGUAUAGAGAUGUGUCUCAAAUGAAGGGGGAGAUAUCAAAGCUUGAAGUUGAUUUUGCUGUUGCUGAGAUCAGAUGUAAAUGAUAUGUUUUUUUAUGAGACUAAUCAUGGUGUCCACUGUUUCAGAGGUAGAUGAAUAUAUAUUAAACCCUAAACAAUGUUGUAGCGGCGAGUUUCUCGUAAUAUUUUAAUUUACUAAUAGUGUAGCAAUCAUGUAAUUAAACAUGAAAAUAUCUAUAAAUUAUCUUAUUCAAAAUGAAUAUAUGAGGUAAUCAAUUAAAAUGAUGUAUUGGUUAGACUAAUUAAUAAUCUGUUUAGUUUUCUGUAAAUCAAAAAAAAAAAUAGUUUUAAACUUUGUGCAGUACUAAAAUCACCAUUUUACUUUUGUUUGUAUUAUAUUUCAUACAGACUAGUCUUGUAUUAUAAUAUAGACUAUAUGUUUCAUACAUAUUAGUCUAUGCAUAUUAAUUAAACAUGUGAACUUCAUGCAACUAAAAAUCGACCAAAUAUUUAAAAAUUGCCAAAAAUGAAGAAGAGCAAAGUAGAUUAGUAUGGAAUACAUAAGAACAUGAACAGUUAUGGUACAAUCUUAUGAAAUAAUGGCUCUAGUCUUUAAAGUUCUUAAAAGUAUAUUAUAUAGAUAACAAUUUCCACAUUAUGAAAAAAAAAUUAUACAUAUUUUUAGGAACUGUUUAUAGUUUCCAUAUGACUUGCAUAAGAGUCGAAGAUAAACUGUUUCCAAAACAUCUUUGAAGUCAUGUGAUAACGCGGCCAAAUUGCAACUUAUUAUAUCACCUACAAGACAAACAUCAAAUAUUUGAAAACUAGAUGUUUGUUCAAAAACUUUAAUACUGAAGUUAUAUAUGUUCUCAUCCACAUAUAAUUUCUGUAAAUGUGAAUAAACAACUAUAGAUGUGAAGAAAAACUAUAGAUCUGUUGUUUUUUUUUUGAAACACCCUAUAGAUCUGUUGUUAAGCAGUAGAAUUUGGGGGAAAAACUUUUGGAUAAAUUUUUAAAAUAGCAACUAACAGGUCUUUGGGAAAAACUUUGUCAUGUUCCAACAUCAAAUACAUAUAUUGUCUGACUCAUGGGCCAGAAUAUCGGGGUAUGCACUUAUUGAGUUUAGAAAUAAAUAAUAUUUUAUCAUAUAGUUGUGUAUAGAUGCAGGGCCGGGCCGGGCCUGAAAAAUAUUGGUCCACAAGCAAAAAAAUAUUUUUGGCCCUUUUAUUUCAUAAAAACAGUGAAAAUAUUGAAAAAACAGUUAGGAGAUUCGAUCCCGGGUCCAUAUCCGCACUGAGAGUAAAGUUACUAGUAGAGCUACAUGAUGUCUUUGUUUACUAUUGGCCCUUAAAACAUAUAUAUUUUUUUCGGGCCCCAAACACAUGCUUGAUGGGCUUCUAUUCAGGCCCGGCCCUAGAUGUCAUUGACAUGUUACAUCAUAUAAAGUGUAAUAGUGACAACUACCAUUACAAUGGUUCCAAACUGAAAGACCUAUAUACAAAUCAAAGCCCAAAAUAUAGGUCCAAUAAAGUUUUUUCUUUUCAUAUAAAGCAAAUUACACUUAUCUUUCAGGUUUCAACAAUUGAUUUCCCACCAACAAAAGCAUAGCAUGAACAAUCUCCCAAGGCACAGACACACUGACACAACGAAUGACUGAAGAUCCAAGAAACCAACAUAAUAGAGAGUAACGAACACUACGAGCUACGGAGGAAGGAGUUUCACUUUGCUAAGAAUCUAAACAAUCGUUUUUUUCUCAUAAAAAGAAGUCAAGACUCGUUAACAAAACCGCAGUACCGCGUCCCACAUUGUCCCGAUCACUGUAAAAACAGCUACUGGAAUGACAAACUGAUGUGCAAAACCAAAGUUGGAGAAGGCUCGUCUUGCACUGUUCUUGAUAGGUGCUGCGAUUGGUGGGGGAGGCGGUUUCUCAACUAAAACAUCGAGCUUCAUACCACCGUAACAUCCACCACCGCUACCGCUAAUGAGAUAGUAAUGUCUGGUCACAUUGAGAUGAACAACGUCCCUUCCAGAUCCA